rnacentral:rRNA from 1 species
GACGAACGCUGGCGGCGUGCUUAACACAUGCAAGUCGAACGGAAAGGCCCUGCUUUUGUGGGGUGCUCGAGUGGCGAACGGGUGAGUAACACGUGAGUAACCUGCCCUUGACUUUGGGAUAACUUCAGGAAACUGGGGCUAAUACCGGAUAGGAGCUCCUGCUGCGUGGUGGGGGUUGGAAAGUUUCGGCGGUUGGGGAUGGACUCGCGGCUUAUCAGCUUGUUGGUGGGGUAGUGGCUUACCAAGGGUUUGACGGGUAGCCGGCCUGAGAGGGUGACCGGCGACAAUGGGACUGAGAUACGGCCCAGACUCCUACGGGAGGCAGCAGGGGGGAAUAUUGCACAAUGGGCGGAAGCCUGAGGCAGCAACGCCGCGUGCGGGAUGACGGCCUUCGGGUUGUAAACCGCUUUCGCCUGUGACGAAGCGUGAGUGACGGUAAUGGGUAAAGAAGCACCGGCUAACUACGUG